GACGAACGCUGGCGGCGUGCUUAACACAUGCAAGUCGAACGGAAAGGCCCUGCUUUUGUGGGGUGCUCGAGUGGCGAACGGGUGAGUAACACGUGAGUAACCUCCCCUUGACUUUGGGAUAACUUCAGGAAACUGGGGCUCAUAUCGGAUAGGAUCUCCUGCUCCAUGGUGGGGGUUGGAAAGUUUCGGCGGUUGGGGAUGGACUCGCGGCUUAUCAGCUUGUUGGUGGGGUAGUGGCUUACCAAGGCUUUGACGGGUAGCCGGCCUGAGAGGGUGACCGGCCACAUUGGGACUGAGAGACGGACCAGACUCCUACGGGAGGCAGCAGUGGGGAAUAUUGCAGAAUGGGCGGAAGCCUGAUGCAGCAACGCCGCGUGCGGGAUGACGGCCUUCGGGUUGUAAACAGCUGUCGACUGUGACGAAGCGUGAGUGACGGUAAUGGGUAAAGAAGCACCGGCUAACUACGUG
rnacentral:rRNA from 1 species